CGUCAAUACGAGCUGGCACAGUCGCGAUUGUUUGCCUUUGUGAACCGUGUCAAGGACCACUGCAGCAAACGUUUACAAAAUAGGUCGACUUUCUUCGAUUCAAUGUAGCUCAACGCUCCUGGCUCAAGCCACGCACUGGUCAACGUUCCUUUGCUACGCUUCAUGGAAAAGGUUUCUUUUCCAUUGUCGCCACCCAUGGGAUUAUCUCAGCCUCUCUGACUUUCCGCUUGACUUUGCUUGUUGCCAUGUUACUCACCGUACAGACCACAUACUUGCUGGUAACAUCGUUGUGGAAGUGCUGAGGGCCUGACACAAAAGGGAGCUGCGGAGCGAUCGUGAAGUCACCACUCUCGGUAUGUUUUCCGGCGGUGAAACUGCGUCAGCGGCGGCCGCCAUGCAAGCCACUACCCUUGCUCCACCCCGUGAUCCUGAAACCUUUUCCGGCGCUUAAGGCGACCAUGUCGACGACUGGACUCCACUAUGAGCGCGUAAGCACACAUUACAGGUGGGACCAAACCUUGAUGCUGGUGAACGUAAUAUUUUAUCUAAACGGAACUGCGAAGGCCUGGUUUGAUAAGAACGAAGCUGAGCUCACAAGCUGGAGCGUAUGUAAAGCGCAACUUCGCGAGUUGUUUGGUCAACUUACAGGAUGCCAGCGUACGUAUACAAAACUUGCCUGGCGUUUGCAGGCGUCUACUGAACCGCACCUGAGGCACAAUAACGAUGUGCUGGCCUUUUGCUGAGGAGUUGCCGCCAGAAUGACAGAAACCGAUCAGGUAGCGCACGUACUUCCGAAAGGAACAGCCAACGCGAUUACUGCUGCAUGCCGACGCUUGGAAGAUGCUAAAAGCCGACGCAUCGAUCGCAACUUCAACCCCCUUGCAAACACGGCAUUGACAUCAACGUGUGAGGACGUUCGUAUAGCGACUCAGCCUUCGAUGUCAGAGGCUGUCACCCGAAUCGUUCGAAGUGCAAGUCCGCCCCCCCCCAUUUCAUGCGAUGGAAGCCCAAUGAUCCCCAACCACCACAUCACUUAUAGAAUAUGUUGUUCGUCAAGAAAUGGCAAACGUGGGUUUUAAAAUCAUCUGCUCUGUGAACUGUGUUAACAUUUACUCUUCGGCUACCUUCAAUCAUCUCCAACACCAUUGUCCUAGUCCCAGUUAUCGCGAUCCGAAUGUGUGGAGCACGCCUGACGACAGGCUCAUUUGCUUCCGAUAUGGACAUGUCGGACAAACUUCAUGGCAUUGUGGAAGUCCUUGGCCGCGCCUUAUAGAACAAGCUUCUCCAGCUUCCGCUAUCCACGCCGACGCCAGCACCAGGUACCAACCUCAGUUGAACCAGAAAUAUUUAGGACCGCCAAGUAGUACAGCCGCUCGUCCUCAUUACGACGCCGACCUUCUCGUUCAUCUUCCCCACACGUUCUCCGUCUAUAUACACCCUGCGUUUUCCUUCAGUAAACUGAC